CAAUUCUCUUACCUCAGCCUCCAGAGUAGCUGGGACUACAGCUAUGGUCUUGGCAUUGGAUAAACGGGAGUGAACAAAACUAUCAAAACUCUCUCUCUCAUGGAGUUUACAUUUUGAUACCAGAAAUCAUGAAAACAAUGAAGACUAAAGGAACUGACAUUCCAGGAAAGGAAGAACCAUUCCUAAGAUCCAAGAAUCUUCUCUAGGGGUCUGGAUCAGGACUCCUUUCUGGUAAUAUCCUCCUGGUGAACCAUGGAGGGACGAUAUUGAGGAAACCCCCAACCCAAAAGGAAACAGACUGCAGCACCAAAUGGCCAACUCUGGGUUUCUGAUCUUUGGAGAUUCUGACUUUAGAGGAAAAAGCAUUCAGGACUCAUGGAGAGCUGAAAUGUUCGUGACUAUUAAGCAAGACAGGUAUUAACCACAUGGACCUAACUAAUAGAGGACAAAAAUAAUCUUUUUUGACUUUUUGCUUAAAAUGUUGCUGAUCCUUUGUUUAGUUUUUAAGAAUCAAGGAAACUCUUCUUUUGAGCUAUUAACAGCUUUUAAUAAUUAAGUAAAGUAUACUCCUGUGAACAAAAUUUGGAGCAUAUUUGUUUCUACCUGA
rnacentral:lncRNA from 1 species